rnacentral:rRNA from 1 species
AUACGGAGGAUCCGAGCGUUAUCCGGAUUUAUUGGGUUUAAAGGGAGCGUAGGCGGACGCUUAAGUCAGUUGUGAAAGUUUGCGGCUCAACCGUAAAAUUGCAGUUGAUACUGGGUGUCUUGAGUACAGUAGAGGCAGGCGGAAUUGGUGGUGGAGAGGUGGAAUGCUUAGAUAUCACGAAGAACUCCGAUUGCGAAGGCAGCCUGCUGGACUGUAACUGACGCUGAUGCUCGAAAGUGUGGGUAUCAAACAGGAUUAGAUACCCUGGUAGUCCACACAGUAAACGAUGAAUACUCGCUGUUUGCGAUAUACAGUAAGCGGCCAAGCGAAAGCGUUAAGUAUUCCACCUGGGGAGUACGCCGGCAACGGUGAAACUCAAAGGAAUUGACGGGG